UACGUAGGGUCCGAGCGUUGUCCGGAAUUACUGGGCGUAAAGCGUGCGCAGGCGGUUCGUUAUGUCCGUUGUGAAAGCCCCGGGCUCAACCUGGGAAUGGCAAUGGAAACUGGCGGGCUAGAGUGUGGCAGAGGGGGGUGGAAUUCCGCGUGUAGCAGUGAAAUGCGUAGAGAUGCGGAGGAACACCGAUGGCGAAGGCAGCCCCCUGGGCUAGCACUGACGCUCAGGCACGAAAGCGUGGGGAGCAAACAGG
rnacentral:rRNA from 1 species